UACGAAGGGUGCAAGCGUUACUCGGAAUUACUGGGCGUAAAGCGUGCGUAGGCGGUUUGUUAAGUCCGUUGUGAAAGCCCUGGGCUCAACCUGGGAAUUGCAGUGGAUACUGGCGAGCUAGAGUGCGGUAGAGGAUGGUGGAAUUCCCGGUGUAGCGGUGAAAUGCGUAGAGAUCGGGAGGAACACCCGUGGCGAAGGCGGCCAUCUGGACCAGCACUGACGCUGAGGCACGAAAGCUAGGGGAGCAAACAGGAUUAGAAAACCCU
rnacentral:rRNA from 1 species